GAUGAAGAACGCAGCGAAAUGCGAUAAGUAGUGUGAAUUGCAGAAUUCAGUGAAUCAUCGAAUCUUUGAACGCACAUUGCGCCCUCUGGUAUUCCGGAGGGCAUGCCUGUCCGAGCGUCAUUGCUGCCCUCCAGCCCGGCUGGUGUGUUGGGCCCCGUCCCCCUUCCCGGGGGGACGGGCCCGAAAGGCAGCGGCGGCACCGCGUCCGGUCCUCGAGCGUAUGGGGCUUUGUCACCCGCUCUUGUAGGCCCGGCCGGCGCCAGCCGACCCCCUCAAUCUAUUUUUCAGGUUGACCUCGGAUCAGGUAGGGAUACCCGCUGAACUUAAGCAUAUCAAUAAGCGGAGGA
rnacentral:misc_RNA from 1 species